CUAGCAUAUCAAUAAGCGGAGGAAAAGAAACCAACAGGGAUUGCCUCAGUAACGGCGAGUGAAGCGGCAACAGCUCAAAUUUGAAAUCUGGCUCCCUCGGGGUCCGAGUUGUAAUUUGCAGAGGGAGCUUUUGGUGUCGGCCGUGGUCUAAGUUCCUUGGAACAGGACGUCACAGAGGGUGAGAAUCCCGUACGUGGCCGCCGGCCUUCGCCUUGUAAAGCCCCUUCGACGAGUCGAGUUGUUUGGGAAUGCAGCUCUAAAUGGGAGGUAAAUUUCUUCUAAAGCUAAAUACCCGCCAGAGACCGAUAGCGCACAAGUAGAGUGAUCGAAAGAUGAAAAGCACUUUGGAAAGAGAGUGAAAAAGCACGUGAAAUUGUUGAAAGGGAAGCGCUUGCAGCCAGACGUGCCCGCAGUUGAUCAUCCAGGCUCCGGCCCGGUGCACUCCUCCGCGGGCAGGCCAGCAUCAGUUCGGGCGGUCGGAUAAAGGCCUCUGUCAUGUACCACCCCCCGGGGUGGCCUUAUAGGGGAGGCGCAACACGGCCAGCCCGGACUGAGGUUCCGCGCAUCUGCUAGGAUGCUGGCGUAAUGGCGGCAAGCGGCCCGUCUUGAAACACGGACCAAGGAGUCUAACAUCUAUGCGAGUGUUUGGGUGUCAAGCCCGAGCGCGUAAUGAAAGUGAACGGAGGUGGGAACCCUUACCGGUGCACCAUCGACCGAUCCUGAUGUCUUCGGAUGGAUUUGAGUAAGAGCAUAGCUGUUGGGACCCGAAAGAUGGUGAACUAUGCCUGAAUAGGGUGAAGCCAGAGGAAACUCUGGUGGAGGCUCGCAGCGGUUCUGACGUGCAAAUCGAUCGUCAAAUUUGGGCAUAGGGGCGAAAGACUAAUCGAACCAUCUAGUAGCUGGUUCCUGCCGA
rnacentral:rRNA from 1 species